GUGAUCGUCGAAUCUGUUGACCUGGCGCCACCGGAAAAAGAAAUUCCCGGGCCCUGGCUUCUUGGCCUGAUGGUGAGGCACCAGAGGCACUGCUAGCCUUGAAGCCUCCAGCCUGCUGGAUGCCUCCAUCCCCGGCUAUGCUGUGGCUCUCCUCAUUCUAGGCCUCCUGCUCGUCACAUUCACCCUUGUCCUGGUGCUAAAGUGGAGGGCCUCCCAUGGGGUGUUCAGCCUGGGUGUGUAGAAGCACACAGUGUGGUACAGAGGACCCUCUCCAGACAGCUGCCUCCCACCAACCCUAGAAAUGAUGCUGGGAGCUGACAGAAACUGAACUUAGGAGCACAGGAGGCCAGGAGACCUGGGACAGAGAACAGGAGGUGACCCCUCAUGCUGCUGCUCCCUCUGCUGAAACCCAAACUGCAAACCUCUCCUCUCCCUGCCUUCACCUUGCCCCACGGCUUCCACAGACAGUGCCUCAACCCCGAGGAAUGAAUCCGAAGUUCCAACACCACUGACUUUCCCAGGAACUCAGAGCCAGAGAGGGCCAAGGACCAGCUCGAGGACACACAGCCAGGGCUUCUUCCCUCCGAAACCCCCAAGGACUGGACUUGCAGGGCUGGGACAGAGGUGGGGUGGGGGAAAGCAAUGCCUUGUCAACCCACGUGGGGAGCCCCACUCCCAUCCCCAAGGUGCAUAAAGUUGAGGAACACCCCUGC